rnacentral:misc_RNA from 1 species
AACGCACAUUGCGCCCUUUGGUAUUCCGAAGGGCAUGCCUGUUCGAGCGUCAUUAUCACCCCUCAAGCCCGGCUUGCUGUUGGUGCCGGCGUGGCUUUAGGCCUCGUCCCGCCCAAAGAUAAUGACGGCGUCUGUGAGGACCCCUGUACACUGAGCUCUCGGGCACGUACACGGUUGGGAGUCCAGGCGCCGGUCGUCGUCCGCAAGGACACUUUUUCUAAGGUUGACCUCGGAUCAGGUAGGGAUACCCGCUGAACUUAA